rnacentral:rRNA from 1 species
UGAAUACGAGAUGCUACGGCAUCGAAGCAGUCUAUGUCAUACUUCCAAGAAAAGCUUGCACUGUCAUAAACAAAUAAUGCCUGUACCAUAACCGACACAGGUGGGUAGGUAGAGUAUACUAAGGGGCGCGAGAUAACUCUCUCUAAGGAACUCGGCAAAAUGACUCCGUAACUUCGGGAGAAGGAGUGCCUUAUUUUAUAAGGUUGCAAUAACAAGAUCCAAGCAACUGUUUACCAAAAACACAGGUCUCCGCUAAGUCGUAAGACGAUGUAUGGGGGCUGACGCCUGCCCAGUGCCAGAAGGUUAAAGAAGUUGGUUAGCAUUAGCGAAGCUGAUAACUGAAGCCCUGGUGAACGGCGGCCGUAACAAUAACGGUCCUAAGGUAGCGAAAUUCCUUGUCGGGUAAGUUCCGACCCGCACGAAAGGCGUAAUGAUUUGGAUACUGUCUCGGAGAGGGGCUCGGUGAAAUAGACUUGUCUGUGAAGAUGCGGACUACCUGCACCAGGACAGAAAGACCCUAUGAAGCUUUACUGUAACUUGAGAUUGAAAUUGGACUUUAUUUGCGCAGUAUAGGUGGGAGACGUUGAAAAUAUUCUUGCGGGAAUAUUGGAGUCAUCAGUGAGAUACCACUCUUAUAAUGUUAGAUUUCUAACUUUGUAUCAUUAUCUGGUCAAAGAACAGUCUCAGGCGGGCAGUUUGACUGGGGCGGUCGCCUCCCAAACGGUAACGGAGGCGCACAAAGGUUUCCUCUGAACGUGUAGAAAUCGUAUCUAGAGUGUAAAGGCAUAAGGAAGCUUGACUGUGAGACCUACAAGUCGAGCAGGGACGAAAGUCGGUCUUAGUGAUCUGACGGUGCUGAGUGGAAAGGCCGUCACUCAACGGAUAAAAGUUACUCUAGGAUAACAGGCUGAUCUCCCCCAAGAGUUCACAUCGACGGGGAGGUUUGGCACCUCGAUGUCGGCUCAUCGCAUCCUGGGGCGGUAGUACGUCCCAAGGGUUGGGCUGUUCGCCCAUGAAAGCGGUACGCGAGCUGGGUUCAGAACGUCGUGAGACAGUUCGGUCCAUAUCCGGUGUAGGCGUUAGAAUAUUGAGAGGAGCCUUCUUUAGUACGAGAGGACCGAGAAGGACAUACCUCUGGUGUACCAGUUAUCGUGCCAACGGUAAACGCUGGGUGGCUAUGUAUGGAGAGGAUAACCGCUGAAAGCAUCUAAGUGGGAAGCCCACCUCAAGAUAAGUAUUCUCA